GCCUCAAAGGCUUCCACUACUG
rnacentral:miRNA from 1 species